rnacentral:lncRNA from 1 species
AUGCGCGCCUUGCACAAUCUGGGCAAGGGUAUGGAGAUGUACAGUCCCGUCACACAUAAGAAAGUAGAGGUGGCCGACAUCAAGGUAACGAAAAAGGAGCCCGUGGCUCCCUUGUAUUACACGGUGUGUACCACGUGUCAGUUUGAAUGCUUCACCUCCAGCCUCGACGGAGGAAUAGAUGUAGGCCACUUUCCCAAUUGUCACCUGACGUGGGACGUCUCCAACGCACACGGACUUAACCCUGAAGACCAUGUGAUCCGGUUUGCGAUUCCAACUCACACCGGUGCUGCCCCUUUACCCUCAUAUACAUAUACUACUUCUUCUACUUCCGCCUCUCGAGGAGUGCAGACGUGUUUUCUCUCUGCUCCCACUCUGCUUUUGCUUGCAGUGUCCUUGUCUUGUCUUUUUCUGAGCACCCUGAUCUGCUAUUCUGGAAUAACAUUUUUGAACAUGGAGCUAAUCAACUGGUCACUCAGCGCAUUGGACAAAAUGUUUUCACAAAGGAAAGAAUCUCCGGGAGAACCACUCUGCCCCUUGGGGACUUUUGCCUCCGAAUCCGCGUGGGAUUCCUGGUGCCCCCUGUGUCUGGAGCCUCUGUCCAUCGAGGAUGCAGAGGAUCUAUUCAUAUUUUGGACGUUGAUAACUGGGCUACUCAUGAUUGGCUUUGGUGGUGCCCUGCUUUAUCGGAAGAUUGGAAAGAUUGGAAAAUCUGUGGCCGGCUCAUUGGCGUGUCCACCGGCUGUGGAGCUGCAAACGCCGACGGGGGCCAUGGUUACUCGGCUGACGGAAUUACACCAGAGGAUUGCCCGGAUUGAAGGACUGAUCUGUAACAUCUCAGCCCGUUCGGAUGCCCGGAUUACAGGACUGACUAAUAAGAUCUCAGCCCGUACGGAGGAAGACAAGAGACUGAGGGAUAACAUCUGCAGACAGACUGAACACUUGGUGAAUAUGGUGACAGCCUUGUCUGACAGGCUUGAGGAGAUGUCACGGGUGACCCAUGGUCCCACAAGAGGCGAAGAAGCCCUGAGUUCUGACCGAUUGGAGUAUUGA